rnacentral:rRNA from 1 species
CUUGGUCAUUUAGAGGAAGUAAAAGUCGUAACAAGGUUUCCGUAGGUGAACCUGCGGAAGGAUCAUUCAUAAUCAAGUGUUUUUAUGGCACUUUAAAAAUCCAUAUCCACCUUGUGUGCAAUGUCAUCUCACUGGAAGGUCACGGCUGUAAAAAUCCGGCGGCCAACCUUUGGGAUUUAUAUCUACUCAGAACUUUAGUGAUUUUGUCUGAAACAUAUUAUGAAUAACUUAAUUCAAAAUACAACUUUCAACAACGGAUCUCUUGGCUCUCGCAUCGAUGAAGAACGCAGCGAAAUGCGAUACGUAAUGUGAAUUGCAGAAUUCAGUGAAUCAUCGAAUCUUUGAACGCAUAUUGCGCUCUCUGGUAUUCCGGAGAGCAUGCUUGUUUGAGUAUCAGUAAACACCUCAACUCCCUUUUCUUUUUUGAAAUUGGAGCUGGACUUGAGUGAUCCCAACGCUUUCUUCCAAGAAAGUGGCGGGUUGCUUGAAAUGCAGGUGCAGCUGAACUUUUCUCUGAGCUAUAAGCAUAUCUAUUUAGUCUGCCUAAAAAACAGAUUAUUACCUUUGCUGCAGCUAACAUAAAGGAGACUAGUUCUUGUGCUGACUGAUGCAGGAUUCACAGAGACAGCUUCGGCUGACUUUGUAAACUCGAUCUCAAAUCAAGUAAGACUACCCGCUGAACUUAAGCAUAUCAAUAAGCGGAGG